GAGAGGGUUGGCUUUGCAUCAUGUCACCAUGAACACACAUCAUCAGAGCUGAGACCAGAGGGAACAUGUGAAAGGGGGCCAUCAACGCGUUCAGCUCCUGCAGCUUCCCACUGUCCAGGUUAAAGGCUGCACAGAGCUUACGCAAACAACACUGCCACUUGUUGCAUUCUUUUUCUUUUGCAGAACCAUGUGAAUGUAUUGACUUCUUUUAUUGUUGACACUGUUACAGAUGUCCCCUUUCCCCCCACACCCUUGCCCACCUCCACACAGCCCCUGCGUUUCUUGGUGGCAUGCUGGUCGAAAAGAACGAAGCCGUUUGGGUAGUUAUGAUGGUGCCAUGUGUUCGUCAAAUAUGUUCCCCUUUCAGCCCAAGCUGCUGCAAGCCAAGCUGGAUUACUCAUGCCCAGUGCUGACUGGAGGGCGGAAUAGCUUUGCUGGCUGCUGAGAUGAUAUCAUGGCAAUUAGACAGGAAGUUAUCAUGUGAAAAGUAUGCGGUGUCUACAGCAAGAGCAGUGAGUUCCCAUCCUUUACUCCAUGGAAAACCUACGAAACUUCUUUCGGAAAACUCUGGCUUUGGGUCUGAAGGUAUCUAACCAACACGCCGGGAUACAGAAUCAGUGAUGAAAAUGGGAGUCAGGGCCCUGACAAGAACACUGGAAAUUUCCACCAGAGAUUUCACAACACAAUGAGAGAAACCAGAAAACAGACAUGCUGAAGUCCUGUGCCUUACGCACCAGAGUAAGCCCAUUAAGUAUUUCUUUGAUGAAUGAA